AUCAGGUGUCUUAAGGGCAUUU
rnacentral:rRNA from 1 species